rnacentral:tRNA from 1 species
GGGGUUGUGGCUCAGUGGUAGAACACAUGCCUCACAUGCAUGAGGCACUGGGUUCAAUCCUCAGCACUACA